ACCCUGUAAGUUAUUUGUAAAUCGGUGAACUUUAAUUUUUUUUUCUGAACCGAAAGGGUCCAAUGGCUUUAAACUGGAGAUAAAAAUACAAUCAUCAUCCAUCAUUUCUUGUAUUACUUUUCUCAACAAGAGACGUCUGAAUUUCUACUUCCCGCUUGUGGGCCACCAUGGUGCCCUGGUGAAUUGUACGAUUCUAACAUACAUUCUUGUAAUUACCAUACAUUAAACUGACAUAAUAGGUUCAGCUUAUGACAUGAUCGACAUCUUAACCACUUUUUUUAGACAAGUGUCAAAUUUAGUUUCACGCAACUCUGGAUAGCCCUUCUGAAGCGAGUAUAAACCAGUCUGUGCGAUGAAAAUAAUACCAUUGUUAUCCAGUAGUACAAAUCUGAUGUUCAGUUGUUUUUUUAAAAUUAUUUAUAUGGUACAUGUAAUUGUUACAAACGCACAAUGUAAAAACAUGUUUGGGAUAACACAAAAUUAUCAUUGUUGAUUAGUUAUCGUUUUAUUUAAGUACACUGUUGAAAUACAUAUGUACAUUAUUUUUAAGUUGUAAAGCACUAUUAAAACUGAUUAAUUUUAUCUUCAAGUUUGGCCAUUUUUUUGUCUCAAUGGUUGUUUCUUGGUUUUAUUGUUAAAAAGUCAUGUGAAGGGAGUCUUUUGGGUCAAUGUUGGGAGAAGCAUCAAGGAUGGCAGAUUUAUUUGCCUGACUUACAGAGCGAAUAUGUCCCUGCAGGAAGAACCAUCCCUAAUAGGUAACAGUACACAGUAACCAUCCCUAAUAGGUAACAGUACACAGUAACAGUACUCGGAUUCAAAUAUGUCCCUGCAGGAAGAACCAUCCCUAAUAGGUAACAGUACACAGUAACCAUCCCUAAUAGGUAACAGUACACAGUAACAGUACUCGGAUUCAAAUAUGUCCCUGCAGGAAGAACCAUCCCUAAUAGGUAACAGUACACAGUAACCAUCCCUAAUAGGUAACAGUACACAGUAACAGUACUCGGAUUCAGAACCAUCCCUAAUAGGUAACAGUACACAGUAACAGUACUCGGAUUCAAAUUGGGGGGCAUAAAAACCAAUACCCUUUUACAUAACCACAUUAAUUUGAAGUGGAAUGUUUCUCAAAAUGCUUUAUAGUAUCGACCAACGAUUACCAACCUUUACUGUACCUUUCAUUUAAUGUUCAAAUACAUUCACAGCAUACAAUUCACAGUAGCUUUUAGCAUUUUGGUCAUUGAUAACCCGUUUUGGGGCUGGCACUUGAGGGAAUUGUGCAGCUAAGUUGACACUUGGGUAAUCUAUAAUGAACCUGGCAUCUCCUUUACAUUUUUAAAAGGGAUAAAAUGGUAUAAGAGUCACUUUCUUGAUAUUCUUCAACGAUGUUUGCUAUAAAUACAACUACAAAGUGAAGAAUGUCUGAAGAAUGACUGCAGUUUCGCUCAGCCCCAGCGCCUUGACUUAAAACCUAAAGGCGCUAGGAUGGGCAAACAUAUCAAGCAUGCUCAUUGGUUAAUGCUCAGUCCCAUAAUGCAUCACACUCGAAUCACUCACACUGCACGCAUGACGUCUUCCUGUGCAAGCUGAUUAGCCCAUCCCAGUGGUCUUGAAUAGACCUGCAGGAUGCUGGGGCCAAGCGAAGUCUGCAGUGUUAUGCCCAUAGCCAAACAUACAUGCCCAGAUGUUUGGAAUGCAAAAUGCCAACAGAUGGUUAAUUAAUAAGGGAAUCAAUAUGUGGUGAAGAGGUUUUCAACUAGUGGUUUAAUCCCAACGAGGCCUGGUUCUGAAUAAUUUUACCGAGACGAAAUCGAGGUAAAUAAUCAAGAUCCAGGCCUCGGCGGGUUUAAACCACUAGUUGAAAACCGAUUCAACACACUUUGAUUCCCAUUCAU